CCGACAUGUACUGUGUUUUCAACGAAGAUGAAAGUUUAAGUUUCUUUUCUAAUAAAACUACAAAAAUCAGUGCUGUAUAAGGCAAAAAAAACUGGAAAUGAUUCUUAGCAUUACAGUGUUUAGUAAACCAUAUAUAAAAGUUUGUAUUAAACUGUUUAAGUGAAAAUUUAGAUGUUUUUCACUAGAAAAAUGUCCGAAAAUUUACCAUGGACUUUACUGUCAGGAAGAUGGAGCUGGAAAUGAAUCUAAAAAGAAUCUUCGACCCGCCAACGAACGCUGAGGUCGAUCAAACCAAGUUCGGUCUACCAAAGGUCGACCAAAAUUCUUAACAAAUGAUCUUGGAACUCUGUGACCUCGGUCGACCCAAAUGACCUUUCUAAGAAAACCAAGAUGGCGGCUAGAGUAAAUGUAAACAACAAAAUAGUUGGAAUUUAGCCUAAUGGUUUACUGGUAUAAAACAAUUAAAUGUACCAACUUACAUUAAAUGUUAAUCAAAAUAUGAAAAUGGUGGUGAUCAUUUGACAAUAAUCAAUAAUUUAUAGAUGAACUAUGACUGAACUCGGAACAGGAGUUCAGGUAAAAUAACAACUGCUAUGUUUCUUCACAGAAUUCUAGCAUGCAUAUAAGUAACAAUUAAAAGGAAUGGUUAAAUGAAUACCGGAAUGUCCAGCAAAUGAAUUUUGCGGCUACAAGACUAGGAAAAUGGACCAUGCAGAAGUUACAUAGAGAGACACUGUGAGAGGAAGUCAGAAAGUCCAGGGAUUUCACAGACCGGUGUACGUGUCAGCAGGGACCAGAGAUUUCUGGCAGUAGAAGCCAGUUGAGCUUCCGAGUGCUUACCGGUCAGCCCUUUAGCCCGACCCGAAAUGGCGUUUUUGUUUAGUUGGUCGCAAUGCAGGGAAGGAAAACAAAGCAGGUAUAGUUUACACCAAAAACAAUCAAGUCCAAAAACAAUAUGUAUACUAUAUUUAGCAUGUUACUUGUUGUGUUUACUCUUAGCAAAUAAUAUGUCCAACUUUUCUGGAAGAACCGUUCGCAUGAAAUAAACUUUUUAACAUGAAUCCGAGAUCUAAAGAGCUCGUUUCCAGUGUUCCUUUAUUUUAUUUGACUUAUUUACAAUGACCUAUUGGGAUUUCUACCUGAAGUUUAUUAUGACCAAUAAAUCUUAAUUUGAUUCAGUUCAUUUUAUUAAAUUUCAAAGGAAGGCAGGUUUGAAUUCAGACGGCCUAAAGGUCGAAAGAAAAUAGUGAGCUAUGAGGAAAGGAACUAUAAACAAUCACAUUAGAUGUUGUGCCUUUUUAUAAUGACAAUAGGAACUUGGUUCUCUUGAUUUAUUUGAUGCAGACAUAUAUCUGUCUCUUUGUAGUAUUGCAGCUCUCUAGGGAUUCCUACAUAUAUACUUUCCUUCAACAUUGCGUCUAAAAUGCAUGCUACUGUCGAUAUUGAUAAACUUUUCUACGGAUGGCCUGACUUGUUUAAGAUAUCGGCUUCAAUUUUAAAAAUAAGCACAUGGUUACAUACCUCUCGCUUGAAUUUCUUCUGCGGUCAUUGCCCCUUGCAAAAUCGAAGUUUUGCAAAAUGAUAUAAAUCAGUUGCAAAAUAAACAUUUAACAGGCAGAAGUAAAUACGUCUUUUAUUUUUUUAUUUAUUUUUUUUAUAAAAGGCACGUCAAAAGUUUCUUUGUUUAACAAAAACCGUAUCACCGAAUACACAGGGAAUUCAUUCAACAAGUGUUUUUAAUAUUUUUAUGAGAAACAUAUUCAUUUUUUAACGUUGUUUAAUGGUUUCCUUCAUGACACUUUGGAGACCUUUCAUGACAAUUUGGAGGCCUUUCAUGACAAUGUGGAGGCCUUCAUGACAAUUUGAAGACCUUUCAUUACAAUUUGGAGGCCUUUCGUGACAGAUUUGGAGGCCUUUCAUGACAAUUUGAAGGCCUUUCAUUACAAUUUGGAGGCCUUUCAUGACAAUUUUGGAGGCAUUUCCUGACAACUUGGAGGCCUUUCAUGACAAUUUUGGAGAUCUUUCAUGACAACUUGGAGGCCUUUCAUGACAUUUUUUAAGGCUUUCAUAACAAUUUGGAGGCCUUCAUGACAAUUUGGAGACCUUUCAUGACAACUCGGAGGCCUUUCAUUACAAUUUGGAGGCCUUUCAUGACAAUUUUGGAGGCAUUUCCUGACAACUUGGAGGCCUUUCAUGACAAUUUUGGAGAUCUUUCAUGACAACUUGGAGGCCUUUCAUGACAUUUUUUAAGGCUUUCAUAACAAUUUGGAGGCCUUCAUGACAAUUUGGAGACCUUUCAUGACAACUCGGAGGCCUUUCAUUACAAUUUGGAGGCCUUUCAUGACAAUUUUGGAGGCAUUUCCAGACAACUUGGAGGCCUUUCAUUACAAUUUUGGAGAUCUUUCAUGACAACUUGGAGGCCUUUCAUGACAUUUUUUAAGGCUUUCAUAACAAUUUGGAGGCCUUCAUGACAAUUUGGAGACCUUUCAUGACAACUCGGAGGCCUUUCAUUACAAUUUGGAGGCCUUUCAUGACAAUUUUGGAGGCAUUUCCAGACAACUUGGAGGCCUUUCAUUACAAUUUUGGAGACCUUUCAUGACAACUUGGAGGCCUUUCAUUACAAUUUUGGAGACCUUUCAUGACAACUCGGAGGCAUUUCAUUACAAUUUGGAGGCCUUUCAUGACAAUUUUGAAGGCAUUUCCUGACAACUCAGAGGCCUUUCAUAACAAUUUUGAAGGCCUUUCUUUACAAUUUUGGAGACCUUUCAUGACAACUCAGAGGCCUUUCAUGACAAUUUUGAAGGCAUUUCCUGACAACUUGGAGGCCUUUCAUGACAUUUUUUAAGGCUUUCAUAACAAUUUGGAGGCCUUCAUGACAAUUUGGAGACCUUUCAUGACAACUCGGAGGCCUUUCAUUACAAUUUGGAGGCCUUUCAUCACAAUUUUGAAGGCAUUUCCUGACAACUUGGAGGCCUUUCAUGACAAUUUUGGAGACCUUUUAUGACAACUCGGAGGCCUUUCAUAACAAUUUUGAAGGCCUUUCUUUACAAUUUUGAGGCCUUUCAUUACAAUUUUGAAGGCCUUUCAUUACAAUUUGGAGGUCUUUCAUGACAAUUUUGAAGGCAUUUCCUGGCAACUUUGCGGCUUUUCAUGACAAUUUUGGAGACCUUUUAUGACAACUCGGAGGCCAUUCAUGACAAUUUUGAAGGCCUUUCAUUACAAUUUGGAGGGCUUCAUGACAAUUUUGAGACCUUUCAUGACAACUCGGAGGCCUUUCAUGACAAUUUUGGAGACCUUUCAUGACAAUUUUGAGGCCUUUCAUGACAAUUUGGAGACCUUUAUGACAAUUUUGAGACUUUUCAUGACAAUUUGGAGACCUUUCAUGACAACUCGGAGGCCUUUCAUGACAAUUUUGGAGACCUUUCAUGAAAAUUUUGAGGCCUUUCAUGCAAUUUGGAAAGUGUUUGAAAAGCAAUUUAGAAAUUGUAUGCCUUAAAACCGUUAUGGAACAGUGUUACAUUAAAAACAAGGGGUUUUGUCUUGUACCUUUUUAAAAAAACUGUUUCUUGCUAAAGGGACGGUUUUGUUUCAGAGUGAUCAAGGACCGUCACGUAGAGGUCCUUCAGGACGAAUGUUUCUCGAUAACCAGAAAAUAAUGACACUCCAAAAGUCUCCGUCAAAGAAAACAUAUUAGCAACAUGUCAAAUUUGAAGCAUGUGUACGUAUUGCUUCCAAAUCAUAUUCAGUUCUAAUAUUUGUAUAUUAGUCUAAAUCCUGAAUUAUUAGUCAUGUUCAUGAAUGUCAUAUUCCAAAAUAACAGAAGACUUGUUACUCAAAAACAUUGUUGUAAAUUUUUUAAAAAGGAUACAAGAUCUUGAACUAAAUAUUAAAUAUUGACAGCAUUUCAUGAUAACACGAACUUUCCAAGUUAAGACCAUUUAACAAAUGCUAGGACUUAAGUUCUCAAUCAUUUAGUUCUAGUCAGUAAUAAUAGCGGACUGGUAAUAUCUGAAGAAUAAACAUCAACAGAUAAUAAUUAGUAUGUUCCCUGUUCUAUUUGCAAAGGUUUCUUUAAAAAAAAACAUCAAAAAUACAUAUUUAAAUACAUAUGGCAAUCCUAAAUCAAAACUAUCAAUAAUAAAAGCAAUGUCAUAAUUGCGUGACGUCAUCAGUUAUCAAGCGAGUAUGAUCAUGCCAAUUAGCGGAAGAAGUUUCAAUACCGUAAAUCUGUUUAACUGUUGCAUUCAAUUGUGGGAAAUCGCUUUCUAGCUAGUGGAUUGCCGCAUGGACUUUUUGUCAUGUGCACAUGGAUACUAACUCCUUAAAUAGGAACAUCAAAGAUGUUAUAAAAUCCAACAGAAACAGUGAGAUAUGACUUGGAAUCAGUGAACUCGAGCUUUGUUGGCGAACUGCAUAGAAUGAGCAUUUUGCAUGGAAGUAGGAGUACUUUCACUGGAAUACUACAUGUUUGAAAUCUCCUUAUGUUGAUUUGGAUUUAUGUGGUAGUUAUAGAUAAAUGCACUCUUCUUGUGUACCGAUAUGUGCAUAAUCUAUUUCGGGAACUUGUGAUUAGAGUCAGCUAAGCAUUCUUCACCAUUCGUUUCAUCGUGGAGCUGAGUUUGUUCUUGACACCACAAGGAUUUCUUUUGAAGGGUCCCGAGGCCCCUGUGAAUGAACAGUUUGUUUUUUUAAUGUUUUUUGACAGCGCGUUUGAAUACAUUUGUUUGUGAUGUGGUAACCUUAGAUGCAUAGUUAUUACACUAAUUAUAUGAAAAAUAUUACAUGGGUUUAUAUCAAUCCUGUGUCAUGUUAUAGCGUUAUUUAUGAAAUUUUAUGGAAAAAACAUUUAUAAACUUGAACAAAUAAACUAUUAGUUGUGUGUCAACUUUUUAACCGUUAGGUUAUUUUCUUAGCAUUGUUUAUUAUUUUUAACCAAUCAUUUGACUAGAUUUCAUCACGUGACACGACUAAGCCAAUGACAUUGUUCUUGGCCAUUCUCAGAUAUUUUUGGCGUCGGCAAUUGCCUCGCCAAACUUAAUAUUUUUUUUAUUACCUCCUCCUCCCCUCCUCCUCCUAUGUGGUUUUAUUAUAGAAUAGUCUUAUUUCAUAUUAUUUACAUUUUUUCCUGUUCAUGAUUUCUAUGUGUAACUUUUAUUUCCUUUAUGUAAAAGCUACAUGUGAAUGUAUAUUAGUUCUUAACACUUUUAUGGGGCGGUUUUAUCCACCCAGAUAUGAUCUCUCGGAAAACUACAUGUGUAUAUAUAUUAGUUUAGACACUUUUAUAGAAUUUUGA